rnacentral:rRNA from 1 species
GAUGAACGCUGGCGGCGUGCCUAACACAUGCAAGUCGAGCGAGGGUUUGCUCAGUAUUGAGUAUUCUAAGUCUAGAAUGUUCAAUUCUGAGCAAAACCAAGCGGCGGACGGGUGAGUAACGCGUGGGUAACCUGCCCUAUACACAUGGAUAACAUACUGAAAAGUUUACUAAUACAUGAUAAUAUAUAUUUGUGGCAUCGCAGAUAUAUCAAAGUGUUAGCGGUAUAGGAUGGACCCGCGUCUGAUUAGCUAGUUGGUGAGAUAACUGCCCACCAAGGCGACGAUCAGUAGCCGACCUGAGAGGGUGAUCGGCCACAUUGGAACUGAGACACGGUCCAAACUCCUACGGGAGGCAGCAGUGGGGAAUAUUGCACAAUGGGCGAAAGCCCGAUGCAGCAACGCCGCGUGAACGAUGAAGGUCUUCGGAUCGUAAAGUUCUGUUGCGGGGGAAGAUAAUGGCG